ACUCGACUUCUUCUCCCUUUAAUUUUCAAGCGUUACACAGUGAAGCUCCCAUCACCAGCACCAUAGUUUCUGCUAAUCGAUUUCCCAUCAUACUUUACGAAAAAUAAAGAUCCCAUUAACGGCUCCAUUAAGUCUGCUAAUCAAUCCCUGAAGCUCCCAUUACAUAAACCUCAAAAGAGGAAGAGGUUAUCUUCCAAAGGUUUUCAAUUUCUUUUCAGACCACGCUUUCUCACACUCUAUUUUUGUUGGUGGAGGACAUAUUGAGAAAAGAACCAGCAUCCAUCUCAGGUUUAAUUUGUGGAAAGAAUUGAUUGGUGCUAAUUAAUUAGUAACGGUGGUACUUAUUUCCACAUUUGGAUGAGCUUCAAAAGAUUAUUAAUUGGGUUCAACACUAAUUCUAACAAGGUACCUUCCCUGAAAGCAUCUGCGGUUUAUCAUUUGCUCCUGCUGAUUUCACCCUUUGAAGUCCUAUUUAUUCAAGCUUACAACAGACACAUUGAGCCUCUAUGACAACUGCUCAAAUAAAGGAGGGCUUGGCCACACUGAUGUGAAGACAUCGAGGCUCUAUGACUGAUGUUGAAAGAGAUGAAAAGAGGAUUUGCAACCGAGAGCAGCAUGCACAACAAGAAUAUAAUCCUCAGCAUCGAGUAUCUGAAGAUUGUAGUUUGUGUUAAAUAUGUAGAAUUCCUUCUCCGAGAAUUCUCCUAAGAGAUCGUGGGCAGUUGUUGAAUGCUCGAAGGCUUCAACUUCGUCACCCUGAUUCCUUACUUGAAGCUUUCCUUUAGUUCCUGCUUUGCACUUUGUGGUAAGUUAGUAAGGUAAGUACAAUUCUGAGUUUUGCGCAAUUUUUUGUUUCUUAUUUUUUGGUUUCUUUCAGAUGCAGAUUUUUUGUGUAGCUCCAUCCAAGGUACUGAAAUCGUUAUUUGUUGUUGUACUGUUUCCAGCAAUCCAUAGGUUUUGUUUAAUAUUACACCAGAAGAUAUGGGAAUAAAACGAGUAAGGAGUAUGUUGAGCUCAUUGUGAAACGGAUAAUUAUGUCAACCCACCUGUUGGCAAAACUACAAUCUCAUUUGUGCUAAUCAGUCCAACCACCACCAAUUAUAGUUGUCCCCAAUGCUUCCAUGUUAGUUUCUCCUCUGAACUAGCUUAAACAUUUGAAUUGUCCGCUAGCGACCAAGAGUCCCUCAAUUGCAGUCUAGAUAAGCGAUAGGCUAAUGCACUUGGCUUACUAAAGGAAGAGAUGGAUAUAUUGGAGCCUGAAGUUUUCCAGUGCCGGAAAUUUCAAUAGAAAAUAGCCAAGCGACCUCUGGUGACAAUUUUGAUUAGAACUCAUAGAGUGAUUUGCAUGGAUUAGAUUAUAAUCAGAGACCAUAAAGUAAUAGUUUUCAGGUUAAAGGUAUGUGCGACGAGAUGUUCUUUUAGGCUAUAUGGAUUCUUUAGGUUCGGUAAAUUUUUUUUGCAGUGAUGAGCUGAAACAGAAAUAAUGAAAUAUCCACUAGUUGUUUAGUCUUAUUAAAACCCACUUAGAGAAAACAAACACUCAAUGAAUCUGUGUUGGCAGAGAAUAUAGCAGUUAGUGUUAUUAGAUAUGUUUUGCUAUAAACUAGAUCUUAUUGAUCGGUUACAUAGACAGCUCAAAGUAACAUGCAGCGUUUGUAAUGUUUAUGUAAUAAAUAUGAAUAGAUUGUGUAUCCUUCUACAGUUCAAAGUAAUAUGAUCAAAGUGUGUAGCUUUUGCGUUUUCGCAGUUCGUUGAAUUGUUAAAUAUUCUGUUUGUGCAAACACUACAGUAUGAAAGUGCUCGGCCAUGGUUGAGCAGAAGUUUCUAUAAAUUUUGCUCUCUUUAGCUUAUACUAUUUGAGUUAGGGGACCAAUUUGAUAAUUAUGAUUUCUACAGGUGACCAUCCUAUAAUAUCAAGAUCCUUGGAAGAAGAUGCCUAUAUGAUUUUGAUCCUAUUUUUUUUUUAGUUUUGCUUUCCGUUGUUCGCAGUAUUACAUUUUUAAGCCUGUCUUCCUUGAUAUUCUGAAGCAUUUUUGUGGUUUGCUAUUAACAACUCAUUUUAAUGUUUUUAUUAUUUUUGUGUGGUACUGAUUUUUAUGCUAAUACUAA